rnacentral:rRNA from 2 species
AGAGUUUGAUCCUGGCUCAGAACGUACGCUGGCGGCACGCCUAACACAUGCAAGUCGAACGAAGUAGCAAUACUUAGUGGCAGACGGGUGAGUAACAUGUAGGUAUCUGCCCUUUGGCCUGGAAUAACACGAGGAAACUUGUGCUAAUACCGGAUAAGUCUUUACGGAGAAAGCUUUAUGCACCAUUGGAUGAGCCUGCACUUGAUUAGUUUGUUGGUGGGGUAAUGGCCUACCAAGACUGUGAUCAAUAGCUGAUUUGAGAGGAUGAUCAGCCACAUUGGGACUGAGACACGGCCCAAACUCCUACGGGAGGCAGCAGUGGGGAAUCUUGCACAAUGGAGGAAACUCUGAUGCAGCGAUGCCGCGUGAGUGAAGAAGGCCCUUGGGUUGUAAAGCUCUUUCGUCGGGGAAGAAAAUGACUGUACCCGAAUAAGAAGGUCCGGCUAACUUCGUGCCAGCAGCCGCGGUAAUACGAAGGGACCUAGCGUAGUUCGGAAUUACUGGGCUUAAAGAGUUCGUAGGUGGUUGAAAAAGUUAGUGGUGAAAUCCCAGAGCUUAACUCUGGAACUGCCAUUAAAACUUUUCAGCUAGAGUAUGAUAGAGGAAAGCAGAAUUUCUAGUGUAGAGGUGAAAUUCGUAGAUAUUAGAAAGAAUACCAAUUGCGAAGGCAGCUUUCUGGAUCAUUACUGACACUGAGGAACGAAAGCAUGGGUAGCGAAGAGGAUUAGAUACCCUCGUAGUCCAUGCCGUAAACGAUGUGUGUUAGACGUUGGAAAUUUAUUUUCAGUGUCGCAGCGAAAGCGAUAAACACACCGCCUGGGGAGUACGACCGCAAGGUUAAAACUCAAAUGAAUUGACGGGGACCCGCACAAGUAGUGGAGCAUGUGGUUUAAUUCGAAGAUACGCGCAGAACCUUACCAACACUUGACAUGUUCGUCGCGACUCUAAGAGAUUAGAGUUUUCGGUUCGGCCGGACGAAACACAGGUGCUGCAUGGCUGUCGUCAGCUCGUGUCGUGAGAUGUUGGGUUAAGUCCCGCAACGAGCGCAACCCUCACUUUUAGUUGCCAUCAUUAAGUUGGGCACUCUGAAAGAACUGCCAGUGAUAAGCUGGAGGAAGGUGGGGAUGACGUCAAGUCCUCAUGGCCCUUACGUGUUGGGCUACACACGUGCUACAAUGGUAUCUACAACAGGAAGCAAGACUGCGAAGUUAAGCAAAUCCCUAAAAGAUACCUCAGUUCGGAUUGCACUCUGCAACUCGAGUGCAUGAAGCUGGAAUUACUAGUAAUCGUGGAUCAGCGUGCCACGGUGAAUGCGUUCCCGGGUCUUGUACACACCGCCCGUCACACCAUGGGAGUUGGUUCUACCUUAAGGCAAGGUUUUAAACCCUUGACCACGGUAUAGUCAGCGACUGGGGUGAAGUCGUAACAAGGUAACC